CUGCAGGCGGCCGCACUAGUGAUUACUGCUCAGUAACACGUGGAUAAUCUACCCUAUGGUGGGGGAUAACCCCGGGAAACUGGGGAUAAUACCCCAUAGACUAUGGAAGCUGGAAUGCUCUGUAGCCGAAAGGUCCGCCGCCAUAGGAUGAGUCUGCGGCCGAUUAGGUUGUUGUUGGGGUAACGGCCCAACAAGCCUGUAAUCGGUACGGGUUGUGGGAGCAAGAGCCCGGAGAUGGAUUCUGAGACACGAAUCCAGGCCCUACGGGGCGCAGCAGGCGCGAAAACUUUGCAAUGCGGGAAACCGUGACAAGGGAACUCCGAGUGCCCGUAAAUUCGGGCUGUCCAUCAGUUUAAAUAACUGGUGAAGAAAGGGCCGGGCAAGACCGGUGCCAGCCGCCGCGGUAAUACCGGCGGCUCGAGUGGUGGCCACUAUUACUGGGCUUAAAGCGUCCGUAGCUGGUCUGUUAAGUCUCUGGGGAAAUCUACCGGCUUAACCGGUAGGCGUCUCAGGGAUACUGGCAGACUAGGGACCGGGAGAGGUGAGGGGUACUCCAGGGGUAGGAGUGAAAUCCUGUAAUCCUUGGGGGACCACCUGUGGCGAAGGCGCCUCACCAGAACGGCUCCGACAGUGAGGGACGAAAGCUGGGGGAGCAAACCGGAUUAGAUACCCGGGUAGUCCCAGCUGUAAACGAUGCGCGUUAGGUGUAUCGGUGACCACGAGUCACCGAGGUGCCGAAGGGAAACCGUGAAACGUGCCGCCUGGGAAGUACGGUCGCAAGGCUGAAACUUAAAGGAAUUGGCGGGGGAGCAC
rnacentral:rRNA from 1 species